GGGGAUUUAGUUCAGUGGUAGAAUGCUUGCCUAGCAAGCGCAAGGCCCUGGGUUCGGCCCCCAGCUCCCCCC
rfam:Rattus norvegicus chromosome 3, whole genome shotgun sequence.